UACGUAGGUGGCAAGCGUUGUCCGGAUUUACUGGGUGUAAAGGGAGCGUAGGCGGCGCGUUAAGUCUGAUGUGAAAACCCGAGGCUCAACCACGGGAGUGCAUUGGAAACUGGCGGGCUGGAGUGCCGGAGAGGUAAGCGGAAUUCCUAGUGUAGCGGUGAAAUGCGUAGAUAUUAGGAGGAACACCAGUGGCGAAGGCGGCUUACUGGACGGCAACUGACGCUGAUGCACGAAAGCGUGGGUAUCAAACAGG
rnacentral:rRNA from 1 species